rnacentral:rRNA from 1 species
UAGGGCAAAACUAGUAACUGGGGCUAAGUCGUAACAAGGUAGCCGUACCGGAAGGUGUGGCUGGAACACCUCCUUUUUGGAGCUUA